UCAAGCGAACAAGGGCGCAGGGCGAAUGCCUUGGCACUGGGAGCCGAUGAAAGACGUGAUAAGCUGCGAUAAGCUUCGGGGAGCUGCAAAUAAGCAUUGAUCCGGAGAUUUCUGAAUGAGGAAACUCACCUGGGUUCAUACUCAGGUACAAUGCACUGAAAUUUAAAAUAGGUGUAUUGAGGGAACCGCCUGAACUGAAACAUCUAAGUAGGGCGAGGAAGAGACAUCAAACGAGAUUCCGUAAGUAGUGGCGAGCGAACGCGGAAGAGGGCAAACCGAGAGUAGAAAUACUUUCGGGGUACGGACUGCUUUUAAGACUCAAUCUGUUAACCGAACGGCAUGGGAAGGCCGGUCAGAGAGUGUGAGAACCACGUAGGUGAAAACGGAGAGAGCUGCGCAGGAUCCAGAGUACGGCCAGACACGUGAAACCUGGUCGGAAUACGGGGGGACCACCCUCCAACCCUAAAUACUACCCAGUGACCGAUAGCGUAUAGUACUGUGAAGGAAAGGUGAAAAGCACCCCGGGAGGGGAGUGAAAAAGAACCUGAAACCCUGUGCCUACAAGCACCUAGAGCGCGUCAAAGCGUGAUAGGGUACUUUUUGUAGAACGGUCCGGCGAGCGAUUGUAUGCAGCAAGGUUAAGGACUUAAGGUCUGGAGCCGAAGCGAAAGCGAGUUUGAAAAGGGCGUUAAGUUGCAUAUAAUGGGCCCGAAACCGGGUGACCUACCCAUGGUCAGGUUGAAGUGGAAGUAAAAUUCCAUGGAGGACCGAACCGACCUCCGUUGAAAAGGCGGCGGAUGAACUGUGGGUAGCGGAGAAAUUCCAAUCGAACCCGGAGAUAGCUGGUUCUCCCCGAAAUAGUUUUAGGACUAGCCUCAAGUUAGAUACCUGGAGGUAAAGCACUGAAUAGCCUAGCGGCCGAGAGGUUAGCGAAGCUUAUCAAACUCAGAAUGCCAGAGUAUUGAUGCUUGGGAGUCAGACAGUGUCAGAUAAAUGUCAUUGUCAAAAGGGAAACAGCCCAGAUCUACAGCUAAGGUCCCAAAGUCAGGUUAAGUGGAAAACGAUGUGAAGAUACGCAGACAACCAGGAUGUUGGCUCAGAAGCAGCCACUCAUUCAAAGAGUGCGUAAUAGCUCACUGGUCGAGCGUCUUUGCGCGGAGAAUUUAACGGGGCUAAACCUGACACCGAAGCUUAGGCAAUGCACGUAAGUGUAUUGGGUAGGGGAGCGUUGUAUACGCGGAGAAACAGUAGCGCAAGCGGCUGUGGAGUGUAUAGAAGUGAGAAUGCCGGAAUGAGUAGCGCGAAUGCAGUGAGAAUCUGCAUGGCCGAAAGCCUCAGGUUUCUGGAGGAAGGUUCGUCCGCUCCAGGUUAGUCGGGAGCUAAGGUGAGGCCGGAAGGCGUAGCCGAUGCACAGACGGUAGAGAUUCCGUCACCACCAAAAGAGUUAAGCACAGGGACACAUAUGAAGUCUCAGAGCCGGGUGUUGGUUCCGGUAGAGAUCGAGGGAAAUUAGUACCGAAGUCUGAGAUGGAAGAUGGCGAGAAAAGCUGUGUGUAUUUCUGAGGUGCCCGUACCGCAAACCGACACAGGUAGGUAGGAAGAAGAUUCUAAGGCCAACGGGAGAAGGGUUGUUAAGGAACUCGGCAAAUUGACCCCGUAACUUCGGGAGAAGGGGUGCUCCAGAGAUGGAGCCGCAGAGAAUCGGCCCAAGCAACUGUUUACCAAAAACACAGGUUUGUGCUAAAUCGAAAGAUGACGUAUACGAGCUGACGCCUGCCCGGUGCUGGAAGGUUAAGAGGAGAUGUGCAAGCAUUGAAUCGAAGCCCCAGUGAACGGCGGCCGUAACUAUAACGGUCCUAAGGUAGCGAAAUUCCUUGUCAGGUAAGUUCUGACCCGCA
rnacentral:rRNA from 1 species